UCUGGGCCUGAGUCCCCAGUCAUCUCAAACAGAUGUCACACCAUGGGGAAUGAUUAGCCUCCCCUGCUCCAGAAUGUUCUGAAACAACAAAAGGGUGAAUUGUGACACAUCAGAAAAUAAAAAAGGCAGGCCCAUUUCUAAGGCACGACUCCCAGCCAGUGGAACAGACCAGCUGGCCCGGCUCAUCGAUGAGAGAUGCUAUUUGAGUUGUCAUUUCCGUUGCCAGGCCUCACAUCUGUAGCUUGGGAUGCGCCCACUUGUCUCUGGGAUCUGCAUCUCCUCCUGGAGCUCAUUCAAAGGGAAUGGCUCUUGGAAUCAAGGUCCAUUGUGGAGAAAGAUGGCCUUUCCUCUAUCCAGUGAAGAGAUUUCUCCUUGGGUGCCGCCUCUGGACAUCUUGGAACCUGGAAGAAUUUGCCAUGGAAGCAAUGACAAUCUUGUCAUAGAAGCAGUGGUGAUCAGAGCAAGAAAUGAACCAAUACAUCAUCUGGACUGACUCCUGUGUCAUAUAGAUAGGAAACUGAGACCCAGAGAGGAAAAGAAGUUCCAGGCAUCAGUGUGUUGGGGCCACUGGCAUAAACAGUGAACGGCUUGAUGUAAAACCAGAGUCCAGUUGCUGAAGGCCUGCUUCCCUCCACUAAACACCCUAUAUCUCCUUAUAAAGUAAAGGGUAGAGGGGAAAAGGGAACAUUUUUGGAAUUAAGAGCAUUAUGCACACCUAUAUAUUUACUAAUCAUGGAGGCCAGUUAAUGUUCUAUGUUUGGGAGAUUGGGACCCUGGGGGCCUAACUUCGAGUCUCAUCUCUACCCUGUUCUAGCUGGAUGACUUUGAGUGAAGAACCCAUCUCCAAGACUCUGUUUCUUUACCCAUAGUAUGGGUUUGAUACCUGUGCCUGUUCUGUGGAGUCGUUAUAAGGAUAAAGUGAGUUGAUAUAUGCACCAAGUUUCUAAUACUGUAUGUGGCACACAGUAGGUCUUCAACAAGUGCAACUUAUUAUUAUUGCUCAUAAGCAUUUAGAGAAAUAUUUGAAGGUUCAUGAAAGUAUGAAGAAGGAAAGCCUCACUUUCAUCCCUCGGUUUGCUGCUUUCCCACUGUGGGAUCAUCAUGGUAUCAUGAGUAUGUAUAAUUUAGCAGGCUGCUUUCUCCAUUUAGCAUUCUUUUGUGAACAUCUCCUCUUAUUCUUCAAACACAGGAUUUUUAAUGUCUACAAAGUAUUUCAUAAAUUGACAUACCAUAAUUUAUUUAACUAUGUCCCUAUUGUUGCAAUUCAGUUUGUUUUCCCCGUUUUUUCCCCCUUUGUAAAUAUUUUGGCACAUAGGUCUUUGCCUGCAUGUUUGAUCAUUUUCUUAGGAUAGAUUCCUAGAAGCAAAAUUAUUGGGUCAAAACAUAAACAUAUGUCAGAAUCUUGAUUCAAACUGUGAGCUGCUUUGCAGAAAGAAGCCAUGCUUUACUCUGUAAAGCUCGUUCUCCAAAGCUGCUCACGUCAGGAUUUGCCACUGGGCUAUUUGUGUGGUAGGGGAAGUCCAAUACUUAACACCCUCAGUCAGUUGAAGGGUAAUGUCCUCUUCCUUCUCUUCCUGGGCUGCACAUAGGACCACUGGUAAUGUCCCUGAUUCGGGAAUCCUUCAGAAUCUCCUCCUCGGGAAGCCUCAGCUCUCGCUGGUUUGGAGACUCACACAAACCUGAGCGGACCUCACAAGCUCAGCCAACCUCAUUCAGUUUUCUGAUAAGGGGAAUGGCAUCCGUCAUCAUGCCCAUCUUUAAGCUUUCAGAACAGUUGAGUCUAUAGGCUCUUUGCUAGUAUAUUGCUUGGGGAUAAUACCCCUUAAAUGUUAGAAAGUUACUGCUUAAAGGUACCCUCUAUAUCCUUGACCAGUCUGGUCCCAUUAAGUGGUCUUCAAGAACAUGUCUUCUCUCCACAGUGUGCGUGUGGUGACCACCUUAUAGGGGUGCUUUGCCAAUACCUCUCUGGGUCCAGCAUAGGGAAUGCUUGCCUGCCACAUGGCUUAGGCAGUGCUAAGCUGCUCCUCAAGCUUCUCUUCCUUGAAUCCAGAAUCUUCACCUUUUCUGGAUUCACCCUCUCUAACCCCCCAGUUCUGGGCUCCCAUUCUUCAUGCUUCGGGUGCUGUCUACAUACCUACUUGGUCCCUCUGCUGCCAAAGUCUUCCUCCUCCAGUCUGUCCUACACACAGCCACCAGAUUAGUCUUGCCUAGACAUAGUUUUGAGGCUGUCCUCCUCACUGCGGACCAGAUUAAGUGCACUCUUGAGGCUGUCCAUUGUGUAGACUCUGUUUCCUGGUUACCCCAUAAUACUUCCCAGCCAAAGAGCCAUUACUCAAUGUUCCCGGAAAGGACCCAAUCUUUGUCAGAUUCAUUAUUUUCCUUUUGCUUAAUUGCCCUCCUUGCUCCUGUAUCUCUCUUGAAAUUUCAUCUGUCAUUGCCCAUCCUAAGUACCUAUAUGCGAAGGAUGUCUUAACCCCCGUCCCCAGAAUGAAAGCUCACCCAUCACAAACACCUAUGCACAUCACUUCCCUUUUCUCAGUCCUCCAUAAUACAAUAUUUUCUAAUCUUCUCCUUGUCCAAAUCUUGGUAGAUAAUAAAGAAGACCUACCUUCAUUAUCUGUUAUUAUCAAAUCCUCCCUUUGUAUCCAUCUCUGUAGAUAGUAAACUCCUGGAAGAAUGAACAGCGCUCACCUCUUUUCUGUACCCAUUACAUCACCCCACAGAAUGUUUGGGACGUGGUGGACACUCAGGUCCUGAGACGGAAGUUCUCCAACACAGUCUCCCUCUUGUGCUGCCACAGAAUGGGAGCAACACAGCUGCUUGGAUUUAUUGCUUUUCCCAGGAGAGGCAAUUACAGCGCUUUAUCUUUCCCUUUGGCUUUCAGCCAGUGGCUCUGCACCUAGUUUCUAAUUUUCUUUGUGUUUGAAGGGAUGUUCUGCCUACUCAGUCAAAGCAAAAUGGUGUUAGAGUUGCUGCUGUUUAUUGAAAGACUACUAUGUGCUGGACACGUGUGUUUUCCAUAGGGGAGCUCAUUCAUUACUUUCCACAAAAAUCUUAUAAAUUAGGUAUUAUUAUCCUGCUCUUUGACGAGAAAAUGGAAGCUCAGAGAGGUUAAAAAAUCCUACACCCAAAUCACUAACGUAGUAGGUUAGAGUUUGAGCUAAGAGUUGAAGCCAGAUCUAUGGGCCCAAGUCCCUUUCAUGAUGUCCCAGCAGAAAAGGAUGAGUGGAGUGGGGCAGAUGUGAGGCUCUGGCUCAACUUUCCUAGGAUCUGAGAGCCUGGGGCUUUGUACUGGGGAGUAUGUGUGUUUCCACUGAAGCUUGGUUCUGCUAGUCAUGCUGAGCUCCUGGCACCACCUUGUCUUGUUGCAGCAGCACCUAUAAGAGGGCGGGAGGUGGAGCGAGGGCAUUGCUUGGGUCUGAGUGUCCUUGGUGCCCCGGAGGUCUAUAACUCUACACUUACUCUGUCUCCUCCAGAGAUCUCCAGAGCUCCCAGACCUAUCACUGAAUCAAUGGCAAAAUAUACUCUUGGCAUUGAAUUAUGGGGAAUCUGAUAGUUUAUUGUACUCUCCUGGUCAUCUGUUUGCUGGGGGGAAAGCAGUUGAAAAUGGGUAUAAUGUAUGCUGAUAUUAAGACAGUCUCAAAUGUCUUCCUUUAGGUAUCAAAACUGGUAUGUUGUGAUAAUUCAAUGCUAAUUUUUAACUCUGAAAAAUAGCAUCCAAGCAUAGUACUUGGAUGCUACAGUAAAGCAAUUAUUUAAUAGACAUUAAUUGAAUAUGUGAAUGAAUGAAUGAAUUCAGGAAUACAGAAAUAAAUGAAUGGUAUUUUAAGAUUUGUUUUGCAUAGCAAACAAACGGAAAUAGUGGGGAAGAUGGUAUUUUCCAAUUAUUAGUAGCAUGCCUUUGGGUAACUGAUUCUGAUACUCUGUUUUGUCAUGUGUAAAGUGGUGAUGUUAAUAUCCACUGACAAGAUCUGUGAAAAGUCUGAAAUUUGGGGGCACCUGGGUGGCUUAGUGGGUUAAGCCUCUGCCUUCAGCUCAGGUCAUGAUCUCAGGGUCCUGGGAUCAAGCCCCACAUCUGGCUCUCUGCUAAGUGGGGAGCCUGCCCCCCCCCCCAGCUGCCUCUCUGCCUACUCGUGAUC